CUGGUAUUUACUCUGAGGACCAAAAUUAACUCUCUAUUCACUUGCCAAAUGAUUAGCGCUUAUUCUACAAAAUAAAGGGUCACAAUUCUAUUGGAUCUCAGUCUCGGAAAUUAAUGGUCUGGCCUCUUCCAUUGAGGCUUGGAAGAGGGCUUUGGCAGAAAGGUUCUAGCAGGCUUCGCCCACUGCCAGACCCAACCUACAGACGGGUUGGGUACUCCUGAGAACAGUGCAGGUGGUGCGCAAGAAGAGACUCAUGGAAUGAAAGUGCCUGGGAAAGGGUGUGCUAGGGACACACAGAUCAGUAGGACACACCCUGGCUUCUAGGAGCUCAAGAUUAAUCAUAAAGUCACAGGACUGUGAAACUUGCCUUCUUUGGGGAGUAAAGUUCUUAUCGUGUUGUUCUGAAAUUAACCAUUUGGUGUGUCUUCCCCGUUAGACUUGUAAAAUCUGAACGACGGCAACCCUUUCCUGUCUCAGGACCCAGGACAGGUCCCAGGCAUCUAAGAGAGCCAAGAACUGAUAGCUCCUCUGCAGCUCUGCGGAGCAUGUGCAGCGCGCUCUCUAGGGGCCGACAGACGCGCGCUUCUUAGCACCGGCGCGCACAAGCGGGCUGAGCUUUUCCAGUGUCACCGUUCCACUGCGCCAACACCUUCCUUCCAUUCCCGCUCCCAGCGCUCCUUCAACUCCUACGACCCGGCCUGGCUCCGAGCACCCUGCGGCCUAAAUCCGUUUUGGAGAGGGUCAGCCGAAACCCAAGAUCUGACAGGGCAACCGGAAGCGGAAAGUCUAUGCUGAGGCUUCCUGAACUACAGUCCCCACAAUGCCCCGGAGCGUCCAUCUGCACGCUAAUCUGCGGCUACCCCUCCAGGGGUCUGGGCUCCAGUUCCAGGAAUGCAGCGGUGCAGCGACCAAUUUUUUGUCAUUUUCAGAGAUUUGAUGGGAAAUAUUGAGAGAGAAUUCAGAGGAAAUGAAUUGCAAUUACAUGGCAUUCAAGCCACCAUUUACCCUUCCAGAUAUCAGAUGUUGCUUAAUCCCUCUAAUUCUUCUUUCCGACAUAUCUUUCUAGCUGUCACUGUCAAUUGGAUUUAGUGCAU
rnacentral:lncRNA from 1 species